GACAGUUUAGACUUAAUGUAUCAGGUCUUAUCAGACCUUUUCGGAAUCUCUUGACGCAGACGUAGACAUGGCCUACAAUUGACUAUUGUCAAAGCAAAGGGUAAUAAUCGAGCAGUGUUUUGGACACCUGAAACGACGCUUUCCUAUAUUGAAAAUUAUUGUUAGAUGACACAGAUAUCAGCCUGACAAACUGCCUGCCAAAUUUUGCUAUUUGCAAUACUGAAAAAGCCAGAGUAUCUGCUAAUCUCCAAAUAUCUGCUUUUUAUGAAGCAAUUGCUUGCAGGAAUAAGAUUGACAAUGAACGAUGACAACCAUUAUCACUACAAAAAGUUGGACCACUGGAUGCAUCGAUAGAGAGAGUAUUUUUUACCAAGGCGAAGUGCAUAUCACCUGGUCAUCUGAAAUGGGGAGCCACCAAUCCCAAGGCUCCAGGACCUGCAACUUUGCAUGUGGUCUUAGUACUGAAGUAUUUAUUGUACAUAUAAUAUAUAUUGUAGUAUUAUAUUAAAUUCCGCCUUAGAUAUUAA